UGUUACUGCAGCUUGAUAGUGAAAACGCUGAAGUCUCGCUCUUCAUUCACUCGCCCUCUCUAUUUCACGCAAUUGUUCACCACUUUCUUUGUACCUUUUCUUCUUCGUCGACUCCAAUCAGAAACAUUGUCAAGAGGUCUCAGAGAGUGAGAUAUGAGCGGGCACGAUUCUAAGUACUUCUCGACGACGAAAAAGGGAGAAAUCCCUGAACUCAAGAAGAGCUCAAUUCUCAAUACAAGUUGUGUUUUAGGUUCUGUUUGGAUCAAUUAGGGAUUACAGAAAAUAAGCUGGAAAUGGAAAGAGUGAUGCUUAUGAAGGUGUGUUUGAUUGUGUUAAAAAGGUUUUGAAAGAGGAAGGUUUUCGGCCGUUUUAUGCUUCUUACAGGACGACAUUGCUCAUGAAUUCGCUGUAUACGACUGUUCAUUUCGCAACUUAUGAGGCAGUAAAAAGGGGUUUGAUUGAGAUUCCACCAGAGUGUAUAAGUGAUGAACGGGUGAUUGUCCAUGCUACGGCGGAUGCUCUUGCUGGGUCUUCUGCUCCGGUUAUCACUACCCCGCUUGAUGUAGUCAAAAGUCAGUUGCAGUAACAGAGCUGGGAUACGGAAGCGGAUAGAGAUAGGAAACAAAAUCUAAGGUAUGCCCCAUCCACUCAGCUUUGGAGAGGUAGUCUUCAUGUGAUGGGUGGAAGCAAGGAGAAUAGGCACACACCCGGAUUAGAGCAUUGGAGCCUUGCUGUAAAGGAUGGGAAAGCAUUGGAAACAGAAUGGAGGAGUGAAGUACCCAUUCCACGUGGAGGACCUCAUAGGGCAUGUGUUGUGUUUAAAGAUAGUCAUUAUGUUAUUGGUGGUCAAGAGGGUGAUUUUAUGGCCAAACCUGGAUCACCAAUUUUCAAAUGCUCUCGGAGGAUGGAGGUAUAUGGGCCACUUGAGUUUUUCUUUAUAGUUCCUUUCAUGGAGAAGAGAUUUUUGCUUUGACUAAUAAAGCCACUGCUGAAGCCCUUAAACAUCCCCAUGGGAGCAUCUUCUCCUGCUAUAGAAAAAACACGUUUGGAAUUCAUUAGCCUUAAAUCUUUACUUAAAAAUUAUGGAAUUUUGAUCCGUAGGUCCAACUGGUACCUUGCCAAUCAGACCUUCUGGACGAGUCUGUAUUAUGGAAUGCGCCAAGUGUAGGCAGCGAUGGCUUGAAAGCCAUACGUCUGGCUAAUAACUUUGGCCUCAAUCUUGCUACUUUACCAGGCAAUAGCAGCAUCACUGUUGCUGCACGGGAAUGGUUUGUUGGAGACAACCAACUAUGGAUGAUUACACCAAAUUGUAAGUUUCCCUAAACCCAGACAAACUAAAAUCAUUAUAAGGUUUUAUAAACAUUUCUGUGUUAUGCACGAAGUUUUGUUGUUCAUGUUUUCUUUAUGCCUUUAUGUUGUAAUUUUAUCCUAAUGUAUGGGCUUGUGAUAAAUUCACGAUGCUUAUAAAAUGGGGCAUGCGGUCGAUUUAUCGCUUCAAAUAAUCCCUGUUUUGCGUUAUCUUGUUUCAGUGUUUUUAUUUCAUUAUGACGUAUUUGUGUUGUUUUCUUCAGAUCUGUUUUCAUUACAGUGUGUCGGAUGUACGUUAUUUUCUUCGGAUGCUUUCUUUGUGUUUUCAUUUCAGUGCGCUGAAAAAGUAUGGCGGCGGUGGUGUAUGCAUGAUGUUUAUCAGUUGAGCUAAAGCACCAACUUUUCGUUUGUCUAUUAAGAUCAGUGGCAGUCUCUAAUGAAUCAACAUACGUUUAAUAAUUAAUUGAUAAGAUAAAGAUUAUGAAGCGGAGCGCCUCAGAGUUGGCCCUCGAGGAAUUCAGCAGGAAGUAUUUCCCGCAGGAUUCUCUCUAAUAGGGAGUCUGCCAGGCGAUCAAGGAAAAGAAAGCGAGAGCAUCUCGCUGAUCUUGAAUUCCAGGCUAAACAAUUGAGAGGAGAAAGUGAUUCCCUAUUUAAGAGGCUUACAAAUGCUGAUAAACUAUGUCGUGAUGCUGGAACUUGCAAUCGAGUGCUCAGGUCAGAUGUCGUAGCCUUGAGAAAUGAGGUGAAGUUGGCUGAGGGUAUACUUGCCGGAGUCUUCUUCGCAUGUGGUCUGAAUCAACUUGUUCAGAAUCACAUGACUUCACCGCAAACAAUUAUUACUGGUAAUAAUCUUCGGCGGCCGGCAAGUGUGUCCCCCACUGUUACCGUACACGGAGAUGGUUCCUCCUAUGUCUUUGGGAACUCACCAAACGUCCAUUUCAGUGUCAAUAAUGUUGGAAUUAGUGGUGAUGCUGUGGGCUAUAUUACACAAGGUGUUUGGCCUAAUUAAGGAUAUCCCCUGCUUUGUGGAUUAGAUUUAGAUCCAUCAGCAAAAAGCAAACGUUCUAAGCCUCCUCAGUGUCAAAGCUCUGCUGUUCGUGUCUUAUUGCGUUCUGUUUUAAAUACCGUUUUGUUUAUGCUUUCCCCCUAGAUGUGCGAUUUUGUUCUACCGAGUGAGACUUCUUCAGCCAUUGCUCAUCUUGCAACCCCCAAACUCGGAGGACUUUUUCUCCUUUGCCUUGUUAAAUUUCUUCAUUCCCCGACUUUUCCAAGUCUUUUUCUUCUUUGGUAAUACGACAACAAGAUGACGCUUUACAUUGGUCGCGAAGCUUCAAAGGGAAUUUGGUUUGGGCAGUCGAGGACUGCAAUUGAGUUGUUGUGUUCAAUAAUCUUAGAGAGGGUGGUAUAUCAAAGCUGUCUUUGUAAAGAUGAUUCUUUCAGCUCUUUUAACUUCUGUUGGGAUCAAUCUUGGUCUUUGCUUCUUGUUUUUCACUCUAUUCUCGAUAUUGAGGAACCAGCCUGGUAAUAUCACAGUAUAUUCACAUGCCAUAACAAUUCUCAGUUUCUCGUUUAUUUAGAGUGAUUUUCUAAUGGUAGUGGCUGUAAGAUGUGCCAGUAAUUCUCAGAGUGAACUUUGCUAUGAAGAAUUAUUCGAACGUUGAUCAGAGCUGUAUCUAGUGGCUAAUAUAUUCUGUUAGUAUGGCAGCAUGAAUUUCCAGAAAUGAUCUUACUAUGAAGCUUUCUUCUACUAUUCGCAUGCCAUAACAAUUCUCAGUUUCUCGUUUAUUAUAGAGUGAUUGUCUAAUGGUAGUGGCUGUAAGAUGUGCCAGUAAUUCUCAGUUUGAACUUUGCUAUGAAGAACUAUUCGAACGUUGAUCAGAGCUGUAUCUAGUGGGUAAUAUAUUCUGUUAGUAUGGCAGCAUGAAUUUCCAGAAAUGAUCUUACUAUGAAGCUUUGGUCUACCAUUCUGCCCGAUCCAAUUCUGAGACCUUUACAUUGAUUCUUGGGAUUUUGUUGGAAUGUGCUGGAAAUGAUUUGUAGGUAUCGUAUUUUUCUUCAAUUUUGAACUUCUUCUGAGACAACCUGUAUAUUCUGCAGCUAUGACAAAUCAACAGCUAAAGGAUAGAGGAAACCAGAUGAUGGAUGAGACUGAUCAAGCCAUUGACAGGGCUAAUAAGGUUGUUCAAGAUACUGUUGAUGUUGGAACAGAAACUGCUGCAGCUCUCAAGGCUCAGUUGCCACUAAAGAUAAAAGAUAAAAAGACUGUUACAGACCUUUCAAUGGCCAGGGUGCAUAUCCGACACCAGUUCUACCACCAAUCAAGUCUACUAUACCCCUUGAUCCUAUUGGACAGCUCAGUGAGUGUUUGCCGUUGUAGAAUAUGUUUGAUCCUGCAACUGAGGUUUUGAUUUUCCUGUUCUAAACAUGUUAUUUCACUGUUACUUCGUGUGUUCUUUUCUGCUUCCUUGUACAAGAUAGUUAAUUUUCUGUAUGUUUUAUUUCCAGAAGGAACCAGAUUUUGACUUGGAUAUUAAAGAGGAUGUUGAAGAAUAAUGCUGCAAAUGUGACCUUGAGCUUUUAUCAUUCAAAGCUGUUUCUCCCACCUGCCUUUGUUCUGCAGAAUUAAGUAUAAAAUAUUCAUGAUUA